UUGGGGGCUCACAGGGGGGCUGAGAGGAGCCUUUGGGCUCACACCUCCCACCCGCAGCUCCCUGUGGGCUGUGGGGCUGGCGGGCAGGGUGCUCCUCAGCCCCCGUAACGCCGCUGCGCCCCUCUCCCCAGCAGCCCAGGACACCUACUGGGCCGGCACAGCGCCCAUCUGCCUGGGGGGCUGCAAGGGGAAGCACAAGGAGCUGAAGAGGAGCCAGUGCGGGGCCGGCAGCUGCUGCUGGCUGGGCUACAAAUCCUUCUGCCGAGUGAACUGCGGGCAGGCCCGAGGCUGACUUCAACUCCCUGGUGCACGGCAACGACUGGUGGGUGGGCUCGGUGGUGCGCUACAGCUGCCGGCCCGGCUACCUGCUGCUGGGGGACCCGGCCAGCGCCUGCCAGCCCGACGGCCGCUGGACCCCAAAGCCCACCUGCCUCCGGAUCUGCCUGCGAGGCCGGAUCGAGCUCAGCGAGCGGGAGGUGUCCGGGGGGUGCUCCUCAGUCCUGCGGCACCCUGAGCCACCUGGGGUCCCCCUCCCCGGCUCGGGGCUGCGUCAAGAUCUCCGCCUGCGUCCCCAAACGCCCGGGCUGGGCGCGUUGGUUCCUGCGCUGUGACCGCUGCGAGUGCGACUGCUACGUCC